GGGAUUAUAGCUCAGUUGGUUAGAGCGCCACGUUGACAUCGUGGAGGUCAUAGGUUCGAGCCCUACUAAUCCCA
rnacentral:tRNA from 2 species